rnacentral:rRNA from 1 species
AUACGUAGGGGGCGAGCGUUGUCCGGAAUGAUUGGGCGUAAAGGGCGCGUAGGCGGCCCGGUAAGUCUGGAGUGAAAGUCCUGUUUUUAAGAUGGGAAUUGCUUUGGAUACUGUCGGGCUUGAGUGCAGGAGUGGUAAGUGGAAUUCCAAUUGUAGCGGUGAAAUGCGUAGAGAUUGGGAGGAACACCAGUGGCGAAGGCGACUUACUGGACUGUAACGGGCGCUGAGGCGCGAAAGUGUGGGGAGCAAACAGGAUUAGAUACCCUGGUAAUCCACACUGUAACCGAUGAAUGCUAGGUGUAGGGGGUAUCGACCCCUUCUGUGCCGCAGUCAACACAAUAAGCAUUCCGCCUGGGGAGUACGGCCGCAAGGUUGAAACUUAAAGGAAUUGGCGGGG